AUAAUACAUAAAAUAAAUACAAUUUAAAAUAUAUUUAUAAGCAAAAUAAAGAUACAAUAUACAUAUAAUAGUAUAUUAGCAGUUAAAUAUAAACUCUAAGAAAAUGACAGAAACCAAGUUGGGUACCCACGGAUAGUCUCGGAACAAUCAGGUUUUUUCGGGCUUUACCCACUAAAUCAAAAACUCAUCUGGGUUUUCUAAAGUUAAGUUUUUGAUGGGCGGGUUUUUUUUGGGUUCAGGUCGGGCUAGACUUUUCUACCCACCACAACAUCUCUAGAUUCAAGUAUUGGUACAUCCGUCAAGAAUAUGAACAAUGCUUAUUCGUU
rnacentral:sRNA from 1 species